GGAAGAGAAGGCAGGAAAGGAUUUGUUGGAUUGAAAGGCGGGAUGGGAGACAGAGGAAAUACUGGACCAACUGGAUCAACAGGACAAAUGGGCAUGAAAGGACCGAAAGGAAACAAAGGAAACCAAGGAAAUGUCGGUAAGC